AACUGAGGGAGACUGCUUGUUUCGAGCUUCUGCAAUUAGAAUCUGAGCGCAGAGAGGAAGAAAAAGGAGGUCGAUGAGGAGGAACAACACAUGGGAGAAGCUGAGGAAGAUGUGGGGAUGAGAGAAGCUCCAUGGAGGGAGCAAUAACCACACACUCCUUGGGGUCUGCAGAAAACCUAAGCCUUCCUCAGGAGCAAGUGAUUGUGAUGAGUGCCAAUAUGGGAUGCAGUCACUGCAGGCAGAGGGUCUCCAAGGUGGUCUCCAAAAUGAACACAGGCUUGGUGGAUUACAUGGUGGAUUUGCAAAAGAAAGAGAUCACAAUGAGGGGGGUUGUAGAGACCAAGAAGAGGAAGGUGCAUCCUAAUCACACAAGGAAGAAGAAGACACUAAGAAGCUUCUUGGGCUUCUUUAGACAGAAAUGUUGUUCUUGCUAGUUUCAUUAGUUGUGGAGUAACUCUUCCCACCAAAUUAGGGUUCAUGUUGACACACAUUAUGAGUGUUGAUGUGAUUAGCUGAAAAAAGUAUUGGUAGACCUUGUAUCUAGUAGCAUUUGGUUUAUUAUUAAAUCAAAAUUAUAAUUAAAAAAAUAGAUUUUUUAA